rnacentral:lncRNA from 1 species
GCAGAACAUCAACUGGGACCUCAACGCCGCCAGCGCGUACUGCGCCACCUGGGACGCCGGCAAGUCCUACGCCUGGCGCAGCAAGUACGGCUGGACCGCCUUCUGCGGGCCCGCCGGCCCCACCGGCCAGGCCUCGUGCGGGCAGUGCCUCCUGGUUAGUUUGUGAACUUAAAACUUCUAGUAGAUGUACUUCAGGAUGAUCUGAUCAGGAAGGUGAGAUGACCAGCAAGUGAUCUCAACAAUAAUCUAUGCAGGUGACCAACUCGGCGACGGGCGCGUCGACGACGGUGAGGAUCGUGGACCAGUGCAGCAACGGCGGGCUCGACCUGGACUACGACACGGCCUUCAGCAAGAUCGACAACGGGCAGGGUGUCAACGAUGGCCACCUCACCGUCAGCUACCAGUUCGUCGAUUGCGGCGAACCCCGCGAGUAGCAGCAGCACAUACAGCGUUGCUGUUCCAAGAAUUAUGUAAU